GUGAGUGGAGGGCAUGUGGUAUUUCAGCCUCCACCCAGCUGCUGAACAGACAGGCACACACUGAACAGCCUCACCCGCCACAGCCUUGCUCUCAAGCGUUCUGCUUUCCUGCAUCAGCAGAAAUAAGGGGACCAAUUUAUCAUACCUGCUGGGUGCCAGAUGACGUAACUACGGCUUUGGGAUGUUACGCAACGAGUAAGGCCUUGUGAGUCUUCACAGAAAGGGACUGGCCUGGAGGCUCCGAGCGGUCAGCUAGUUCCCGUCACUGUUCUCCCCGGGAAGCUGUGGAUGGGCAGUGACCCAGGCAGGGAAAGGCCUCGGAUGGAAUUGCACUCAAGGACAUGUCUGCGUCAAAGCUUUUCUCCAAGUUCGUCUUCAGUUGCUAUUUCUGAAGCCACAUCACACCCUGAGAAACUCCUCCCUUUUCCUCUACCCUGCUUCUCCCCCCGUCUGUCUCCUUCUUGUCACUUUUAGUUGGUUUUGCACGGGAACUCUGAGGCCAUCCCAGCUGCCCUUGUCUGCCCGUGAGAAUCCCCUUCCACAGCGCCUCAAGAGCAGGAUGGAAGUUCCAAGAGUAUGAAUUCAUUUCAUGACAUGUACCUUUUGCAACAUACCCCGCAGCUGCAUGUCUUCAAGGAAUGAUGGGACACUAUGUUUAAGCUCCAGAAAUCGAAGCAGGACUCAAAGAAGCAGGCCAGUUCUGCUCUGCCCCCAAAGAGAAGGGGAAACUGAAGCCCAGAAAAGGAGAGGAACUGACUCCAAGCCACACGUUCAAUUAGAGAGAAGCCCACCCUCCUGACUCUUGAUCCAGGUCCUCUGGACUCUCAGCCAACACCUGUCCACUGCACUUCCUCCUUUGGGGAUGUGGGGAGUGAGGUGACCAGGAGAAGGUCACUUAGAAGGUCACUUAGAAGGUCAGUUAGAAGAGAAACUAACUGGCUAUGAAUGAUUUCAUAUGUUUCAACCUUACGCCUCUACCUCCUGGUUACCUGAUGAUACCUCUCUCUCUAUUUCCUGAUUACUCCUCCUGGUUACCUGAUGAUACCUCUCUCUCUGUUUCCUGAUUACUCCAUCCUUGUUCUUUGGCUUUCAGUGUUUAUUAGAGAUAAUAGAUGGACUACAUGCACACACAGGUUCAUUCCAUUGACGUUCACCAAGAGCCUUCCACUGCUGAGGAUGCAAGAUGA
rnacentral:lncRNA from 1 species